AACGAACGCUGGCGGCGUGCCUAACACAUGCAAGUCGAGCGGGAAAGUUCCCUUCGGGGAGCGAGUACAGCGGCGCACGGGUGAGUAACACGUAGGUAACCUACCCUGGAGACCGGGAUAACCUGCCGAAAGGCGGGCUAAUACCGGAUGAGACCACGAGGGCUGCGGCCCUUGAGGAAAAAGAUGGCCUCUACUUGUAAGCUAUCACUCCGGGAUGGGCCUGCGCGCCAUUAGCUAGUUGGGAGGU
rnacentral:rRNA from 1 species